GGCACUAUAGCCAAGUGGUUACGGCGGUUGAUUCGAAAUCACCUCCUCUUUGAGGGCGCAGGUUCGAAUCCUGCUGGUGUCG